GCUCGUAGUUGGAUUUCUGUGAAGGACGGCCGGUCCGCAUUUUGUGCGUGUAUCUGGUACGGCCUUUACAUCCUCUUGUGGAACGUUGCGGUGCUUAGUUGCAUUGUGCGGAAUGCAAGACUUUUACUUUGAGGAAAUUAGAGUGUUCACGGCAGGCAUGCGCCUUGAAUAUAUUAGCAUGGAAUAAUAAUAUAGGCUCCUCGCCCUAUUUUGUUGGUUUCUAGAGCGAAGAGAAUGGUUAAUAGGGAUAAUUGGGGGCACUCGUACUAGAGCGUCAGAGGUGGAAUUCUUAGAUUGCUCUAUGACGAACUACUGCGAAAGCAUUUGCCAAGGAUGUUUUCAUUGAUCAAGAACGAAAGUUUGGGGAUCGAAGAUGAUUAGAUACCAUCGUAGUCCAAACCAUAAACUAUGCCAACUAGGGAUUGGAGGGCGUUCUUUUUACGACUCCUUCAGCACCUUAUGAGAAAUCAAAGUCUAUGGGUUCCGGGGGGAGUAUGGUCGCAAGGCUGAAACUUAAAGGAAUUGACGGAAGGGCACCA
rnacentral:rRNA from 1 species